GAUAGCGAUGAAGCGGAAGUUGCUGUCAUUUGACCCAAAAGACAGGUAAUUUCGUGGAGCGAAUGUCAAGUCAAGAUACUGGCGACGA
rnacentral:ncRNA from 1 species